rnacentral:rRNA from 1 species
UACGUAGGGUGCGAGCGUUGUCCGGAAUUAUUGGGCGUAAAGAGCUCGUAGGCGGUUUGUCGCGUCGGCCGUGAAAACUGGAGGCUUAACUUCCAGCUUGCGGUCGAUACGGGCAGACUUGAGUUCGGUAGGGGAGACUGGAAUUCCUGGUGUAGCGGUGAAAUGCGCAGAUAUCAGGAGGAACACCGGUGGCGAAGGCGGGUCUCUGGGCCGAUACUGACGCUGAGGAGCGAAAGCGUGGGGAGCGAACAGG